UACGUAGGGGGCAAGCGUUGUCCGGAAUCAUUGGGCGUAAAGCGCGUGUAGGCGGCUCGGUAAGUCCGCUCUGAAAGUCCAGGGCUCAACCCUGGGAUGCGGGUGGAUACUGCCGGGCUCGAGUCCGGAAGAGGCGAGUGGAAUUCCCGGUGUAGCGGUGAAAUGCGCAGAUAUCAGGAAGAACACCCGUGGCUAAGGCGGCUCUCUGGGACGGUACUGACGCUGAGACGCGAAAGCGUGGGGAGCGAACAGGAUUAGAU
rnacentral:rRNA from 1 species